rnacentral:misc_RNA from 1 species
CAUUUUGUUCCUUAUCAAUAAGGUGUAUCGUGUAACUCUCUGCUGCUGGAGCGAGGAUACAUGAAAACAAAAUGUGCAUGGUCGAAUAGAGCAGACGGUUUUUAUUUUCCACAAAAAUAAAACCAAAGGAGGA